AUGUACUACUUUAAUAAUCCUGAGAAAACCCCAUUCAAUUAUGUAAUGGGAGUAAUGUUGGAUCAACGUGAAUACUUUAGGGAUUACCGCUUGACACAAAAAGGGAAACUAUUAUGGGAUCAAAUUUAUAUAUUGAAGUGGUAUGCUAGACUACUAUGCUCGGAAUAUGAUUAUACUUGUUGCUCUAGGAUGAAUUCUCCACACCUCCCCUUUUCAUGCAAAUUUAAUGAUAAUGAAACCUUGGCUUCUUAUGCUAGAGGUAUAUAUGAUUACUAUGAUGUGGAACAAAUAGAAGAAUUUGUUGCUUUUAUGGGUGCUUAUGAAAUUGAAUCUAUGUUUAAAGAGUUUGAUGAUAUUGAUGAUGCUUGUUAUAGAUCUGAAAAAUUAGCUAUCCUCAAAUAUUUCUAUUAG
rnacentral:rRNA from 1 species